rfam:Paxillus rubicundulus Ve08.2h10 scaffold_84_c1, whole genome shotgun sequence.
GGAUUGGUAGCUCAGUUGGAAGAGUGUCACUGUACUACACCGGAGGCCACAGGUUCAAUCCCUGUCUAGUCCA